UGGGAGAUAGCUCAGUUGGUAGAGUGCUUGCCUCACAUGCUCAAGGCCCUGGGUUCAAUCCCCAGUACCACAC
rfam:Ictidomys tridecemlineatus contig054884, whole genome shotgun sequence.